rnacentral:rRNA from 1 species
AUGCGACAAGAUGUCAUUCAGGAAUUUGUGGCGCUUUAUCAAAGAGUAGGGCCUUAUCUACCGAUCGAGCCCUACUUGGUCGAUGAAGCGCUUCGUUCCUAUCUGGACCAUAUUCACGCAACUGAUUCUUUCACUGUUCUCCAAGCGUCUUAUCAAGAUCUGCGGGAGAAUGAGGGAGGAUCCGUUUUCUUUCGAAAUGCUGUUUCCCACAACCGGGAUCUCCUUGAGGCGGAAAGCUCCGCAAGGAGGUGCCUGGAAGUGGAAAGAGGAUCCGGUGGGAAGAAAUCCCCAAGAGCAAGGCAAGUCUCGAAAGAGCUGAGCACGAGCAUGCUCUCGACUUGUUUAAGUCGGAGGAUCUUAGAAAAAAAAGAGCGGGGUAGCUCAGAGUGA